rnacentral:rRNA from 1 species
GACGAACGCUGGCGGCGUGCUUAACACAUGCAAGUCGAGCGGUAAGGCCCUUUCGGGGGUACACGAGCGGCGAACGGGUGAGUAACACGUGGGUGACCUGCCCUCAGCUCUGGGAUAAGCCUGGGAAACCGGGUCUAAUACCGGAUAUGACUCCAUGACGCAUGUUGUGGGGUGGAAAGCCUUGUGCGGCUGAGGAUGGGGCCCGCGGCCUAUCAGCUUGUUGGUGGGGUGAUGGCCUACCAAGGCGACGACGGGUAGCCGGCCUGAGAGGGCGACCGGCCACACUGGGACUGAGACACGGCCCAGACUCCUACGGGAGGCAGCAGUGGGGAAUCUUGCGCAAUGGGCGAAAGCCUGACGCAGCGACGCCGCGUGAGGGAUGACGGCCUG